rnacentral:lncRNA from 1 species
UUUUACCACUUUAUAACUCUCCAACAUCAGAUUGUUUCUUAUAGCAAGUUAGCGACCCUAGCUUCUAACCUCUGAUUCUGUUUUCUUUCUCCUUCAUUUUCUCUCUCAGUUACACCAUCUAUUAUCUAUUCUCUUUCUUAUUGUCUUAGGGUCUUCCAUUGUAAUCUAUAACCAACCAGCUCCACUCUACAUCCUCAUCAUGCCAACAUAUAUCACAAUUGAUCCAGAUUUGUCUAGAAGCUUUAGCCAUCUUCAGCUUGCAGCAAACCCUUGUAUUGAAGAUAAUGAUGAUUUUUGUAAAAGAAAAUCUGAAUUCUUUUUUUACUUAUUAAGCUAGGAUCACAAGUUAAUCAAGUAAUAGUUGUAACAAAAUCACUGGCGCUUGUCCUCAGCCGUAUUGGAGAGUCCUUCUGUUGGAAGAGAUCAAGUAUGUGAUUGGUUGUGCUUCUUAUCUCAUUGGCAACAAGUUGUUGGCAAUGCUUUAAGUUUGGUAUUGGCUUUUUAAUCUUUUACCAAAAUUAUGUCAUGAUGUAUUAGGCUUCUCUGGUAUGAAUUACAUGCUAAGAAAGUUUAUUGUUGUUUCACUAUAUGAGCUUAUGACUUCACUGCAUAUAAUACAGACUUAUAUGUAUUGAUCUUUUCUCAAAAGUUACAUGUUGUGAUUUAGGGGAAAUGAAUGGUGAAACUCAGAGAAGCCACUGGAAAUUAUUAUCCAACAUAAUCAUAUAAAGGGAUGAAAAUAUUGUAUGGGAAAUCAAUGAUCUCACUUGUCACACAACAGGUCAAGAAAGCCAGACUAAAAUUAGGAGGACACCACUGUUAGAUCUUGAACAUCCCCUCCUUUUAUCUUCAUCAAGCUUUGAUAUUUAUCACAGUAUUAUUCUUCGAGGCAGAUAGAUGUCACACUGUGAUUAGUGUGAUGAAUAUCAAAGCUUGAAAGAAGGUUAUGUUAGUAGCUUGUGGCCUAAAAUACAGUAGUACUGUAAUCCAGUGCUCUGUUUUGCAAAAUUCAGAGUCCGCCGAUGAGACUCUUCACGUUACUCUGUAUUUAAGGGAAAUGAAGUCUUAGAAUCACAAAAGCUACUGAAUUUUUUUUAAAAGGCAAUCAAUAUAAACAAGAACAUCAAAUGUAUUCUGAACAAAAAGAACAAGAAUACCAAAAGGACUCCUGGCUUUUCAAUGCCGAAUACCAUGUAAAAUAAUUCUUGAUUAAGUGUAGACUAGAUACCAUGCACUUAAAUCCCAGUACAUUCACCGAAUUAACUAGCAGAUGCUCUAUAUAUAUGAACAACAUGCUCUCUUUGUGCCAAACCCAAGUAAAUUAUCACAAGAGAAUGAUACCUCACCACAUCCUUUGGAAAAUGGAUAACUAUGAAGUUGAAAUUCAUGGUCUCAAAAUGAAGGUUACCGUAGCAGAUGAUCCUCAUUUGGUGCAGCAAAUAGUUUCACAGUUGAAUUCAGGUGAUCUCAUCGGGCUUGAUAUCAAGGGAGGCGACGGCUAUAUUCCGCAAAUGUUGGUACUCUGUUCUGGAAGUCGUUGCCUGAUCGUCCCAAACUUGAAAAAUAUGUUGUCUAAUACAACAGAGCAAAUAACUAUAUCUUUACUGAAACAGUUUUUUGCUACUCCUCGGAUCUGUUUUGUGGGUUUUAAUCUCCAGUUGAACAGUCGUCUUCGUUCAUAUUCUUUGUUGGAGGCUAUGCUAGCUAAAAAGGGUGUAGAGGUGAGUGAAUUUGCAGCUAGAGUACUGAAGAAACGUGAACUUGAAUGUCGUAGUCUACAUGACAUUGCAGGUGAAGUUGGUGUUGAUAUGAAGCAACUAUCUGGUGCUCGUCCAGGAUCAUUCUGCGUGAGAGUUUUUUCUGUGGAAGAGAUCAAAUAUGUGAUUCACAAUGCUUGUGCUUCUUAUCUAAUUGGAAUGAAGCCAUUGAGGAUGCUCUAAAUUCGGUACUCGCUUUUUAGUCUUAACGCAAUGUUAUGCUGGGUUCUAGACUUCUAGGCUUCUGGUACUACUAGUACUCUGUUUUGCGAUAAAGGGACUCUCCAACAUCGGAAAUAAAUAUGAACCUAUAUGCUAAGACUGUUCAUUGCUAUAUCUCUAUUUGAGCUUAUAAUCUCACUAAAAAUAACACACAAUUACAUAAUGCUUAGUAAUGCUUCAUCUUAUGUUUGCAAUGACUGCUUGUCUUGUAAAGCAUGCUAUGCUUCCAAUCUUGUAACAGCCUCAAGGAUUUUAAGUGCAUGUAUCUUCGUACAAGAGCCACUAAGUUAUAAAUGGAUACUCAAUUCCUUAGACGGAAAUGCACAGAGCGCCACUAUAUGAGCACCCCUUAUUGGCAUUUCUUUUGAUAUGAACAAAAAUAUUGGGGAUAAAAUCGAUAUCCACAUAUAUAUCUCAUAAAUU